rnacentral:lncRNA from 1 species
UUUUCCAGUUAGUUUUCUGUUAUUGAUUUGUAGUUUAACUCCAUUAUGGACAGAGAGCAUACUUUGUAUGAUUUCCAUUCAUUUAAGUUUAUUAACUCUGUUUGUUUUGUUUUGGCUCAGGAAAAUUUCUCUUGCUUGGGGUCUUCUGUAAACGUUGGUUAGAUUCAGUUAGAUGAUGAUGGCAUUCAGAUCUUUUAUAUUCUUGCUGAUGCUCUCUGUAGUUAAAUCCUUUACUUGGAGAGCAUGUUGAAGUCUCCAACUAUAAUUGAGGGGUUUAUUUUUCCUUUCGUAUCUGUAAUUUUUUUUUUUUUUGUCUGUUUAGAGCCUCACCCAGGGCAUAUGGAAGUUCCCAGGCCAGGGGGGAAUUGGAGCUGUAGCCGCCGGCCCACACCACAGCCAUAGCAAUGUGGGAUCUGAGCCACAUGUAACCUACACCACAGCUCACAGCAACGCCGGAUCCUCCACCCACCAAGAGAGGCCAGGGAUCUAACCUGUGUGCCUUCUCCACUUUUUAGAUGUCUGCCUUGCUCUUACUGCCAUUGCUACUGCCAUUGCUCUUCUGCCACAGCCACCACCUUUGCAGUAUUGCCUAGGGGCAGGGUAGAGGGAAGAAAAACAAAACAAAACAGAGAAUUUCCUCCUUUGUCCUUUAUCUUCCUUUUCCUUUUUUUGCUUUUUGAGCCAGAAAUAGGUUUUUUCUUAAGAGUUUUUUCUCUGUACUCAGUGUGCACUUGUGGGUUUUGGGCUGCCCUUGGGUCCAGGCUGGGUAGUGCUGGAGGAAAGUGAUAACUUCUUGCCAAUUUGAUGGAAUUUCUAAUUCUGCUUUCUUUCUCCAGUCUGCUCACUGUCACUGACUUUUCACAGCCCUCAGCUAGCUGUGGCAUGUAUUUUGUUCAGAAUUUAUAGUUGCAAAUGGAGGGAGAGAGAGGCAGGAAUCUCCAUGGAGUGUUGUUUAUUCCAUCUUCACUGGAACCAGAACUUAGUUUUGAUCUUAGAAUGUAUUCUGAAAUAUACCAAAAUUCUUUACUAUGUAAAUAAACUUUUAUUUUUCAUUCAUGC